AUUGAACGCUGGCGGCAGGCUUAACACAUGCAAGUCGAGCGGGGUGAUGGUGCUUGCACUAUCACCUAGCGGCGGACGGGUGAGUAAUGCUUAGGAAUCUGCCUAUUAGUGGGGGACAACAUCUCGAAAGGGAUGCUAAUACCGCAUACGUCCUACGGGAGAAAGCAGGGGAUCACUUGUGACCUUGCGCUAAUAGAUGAGCCUAAGUCGGAUUAGCUAGUUGGUGGGGUAAAGGCCUACCAAGGCGACGAUCUGUAGCGGGUCUGAGAGGAUGAUCCGCCACACUGGGACUGAGACGCGGCCCAGACUCCUACGGGAGGCAGCAGUGGGGAAUAUUGGACAAUGGGAGGAACCCUGAUCCAGCCAUGCCGCGUGUGUGAAGAAGGCCUUAUGGUUGUAAAGCACUUUAAGCGAGGAGGAGGCUCUUUUGGUUAAUACCCAAGAUGAGUGGACGUUACUCGCAGAAUAAGCACCGGCUAACUCCGUGCCAGCCGCCGCCGCGG
rnacentral:rRNA from 1 species